rnacentral:rRNA from 1 species
UACGGAGGAUCGGAGCGUUAUCCGGAAUUAUUGGGUUUAAAGGGUGCGUAGGCGGCCAUUUAAGUCAGCGGUUAAAUUUUGCAGCUUAACUGUAACAGUGCCGUUGAUACUGUUUGGCUAGGAUUUGGUUGUAGUGUGCGGAAUGUGUGGUGUAGCGGUGAAAUGCAUAGAUAUCACGAGGAACUCCGAUUGCGCAGGCAGCUUACUAAACUACUACUGACGCUCAGGCACGAAGGCGUGGGGAUCAAACAGGAUUAGAUACCCGCGUA